GGUUUUCGGACCAAGAGACCGGCGCACGGGUGCGUAACGCGUAUGCAAUCUACCUUUUACAGAGGGAUAGCCCAGAGAAAUUUGGAUUAAUACCUCAUAGUAUUACGACUCGGCAUCGAGAUGUAAUUAAAGUCACAACGGUAAAAGAUGAGCAUGCGUCCCAUUAGCUUGUUGGUAAGGUAACGGCUUACCAAGGCAACGAUGGGUAGGGGUCCUGAGAGGGAGAUCCCCCACACUGGUACUGAGACACGGACCAGACUCCUACGGGAGGCAGCAGUGAGGAAUAUUGGUCAAUGGGCGCAAGCCUGAACCAGCCAUGCCGCGUGCAGGAUGAAGCAUCUAUGGUGUGUAAACUGCUUUUGUACGAGAAGAAACACUCCUACGUGUAGGAGCUUGACGGUAUCGUAAGAAUAAGGACCGGCUAACUCCGUGCCAGCAGCCGCGGUAAUACGGAGGGUCCAAGCGUUAUCCGGAAUCAUUGGGUUUAAAGGGUCCGUAGGCGGUUUUGUAAGUCAGUGGUGAAAGCCCACCGCUCAACGGUGGAACGGCCAUUGAUACUGCAAGACUUGAAUUAUUGGGAAGUAACUAGAAUAUGUAGUGUAGCGGUGAAAUGCUUAGAGAUUACAUGGAAUACCAAUUGCGAAGGCAGGUUACUACCAAUAUAUUGACGCUGAUGGACGAAAGCGUGGGGAGCGAACAGGAUUAGAUACCCUGGUAGUCCACGCCGUAAACGAUGGAUACUAGCU
rnacentral:rRNA from 1 species